rnacentral:tRNA from 1 species
AGGCUCGUGGCGGAAUUGGCAGACGCAGCGGACUUAAAAUCCGCAGAGUUCACCCUCAUCCGGGUUCAAGUCCCGGCGAGCCUA